AUCCAGAUGAUGAGUCCACAAUAGGACGAAAUGCACAGCCUGGAU
rnacentral:hammerhead_ribozyme from 1 species